UACGUAGGGACCAAGCGUUGUCCGGAAUCAUUGGGCGUAAAGAGCGUGUAGGCGGCCUGUUAAGUCUUGCGUGAAAUCUCGGGGCUCAACCCCGAGCGGUCGUGAGAAACUGGCAGGCUAGAGUGCGGGAGAGGAGAGUGGAAUUCCUGGUGUAGCGGUGAAAUGCGCAGAUAUCAGGAAGAACACCCGUGGCGAAGGCGGCUCUCUGGAACGCAACUGACGCUGAGACGCGAAAGCGUGGGGAGCAAACAGGAUUAGAUACCCUGGUAGUCCACGCCGUAAACGAUGGAUGCUAGGUGUGGGCGGUGUCGACUCCGUCCGUGCCGAAGCUAACGCAUUAAGCAUCCCGCCUGGGGAGUACGGCCGCAAGGCUAAA
rnacentral:rRNA from 1 species